rnacentral:rRNA from 1 species
CGCGUAGGCGGCGCGGUAAGUGUGGAGUGAAAUCCCACGGCUCACCCGUGGAAUAGCUUCGCAUACUGCCGUGCUCGAGGACGGUAGGGGAGAGCGGAACUCUUGGAGGAGCGGUGAAAUGCGUAGAUAUCAAGAGGAACACCAAUGGCGAAGGCAGCUCUCUGGUCCGUUUCUGACGCUGAGGCGCGAAAGCCAGGGUAGCGAACG